AUCCGGCUAACAAGUCCCAAAUAGGGCGGAACGCGUGUCCGGGAU
rfam:Schistosoma margrebowiei strain Zambia genome assembly, scaffold: SMRZ_scaffold0003397